CGUGGGUAACCUGCCUGUAAGACUGGGAUAACUCCGGGAAACCGGGGCUAAUACCGGAUGGUUGUUUGAACCGCAUGGUUCAAACAUAAAAGGUGGCUUCGGCUACCACUUACAGAUGGACCCGCGGCGCAUUAGCUAGUUGGUGAGGUAACGGCUCACCAAGGCGACGAUGCGUAGCCGACCUGAGAGGGUGAUCGGCCACACUGGGACUGAGACACGGCCCAGACUCCUACGGGAGGCAGCAGUAGGGAAUCUUCCGCAAUGGACGAAAGUCUGACGGAGCAACGCCGCGUGAGUGAUGAAGGUUUUCGGAUCGUAAAGCUCUGUUGUUAGGGAAGAACAAGUACCGUUCGAAUAGGGCGGUACCUUGACGGUACCUAACCAGAAAGCCACGGCUAACUACGUGCCAGCAGCCGCGGUAAUACGUAGGUGGCAAGCGUUGUCCGGAAUUAUUGGGC
rnacentral:rRNA from 1 species